rnacentral:rRNA from 1 species
UGUGGGACGAAAUUAUUGACGGUACCACAUGAAUAAGGGGCUCCUAACUCUGUGCCAGCAGGAGCGGUAAUACAGAGGCCCCAAGCAUUAUCCGGAAUCACUGGGCGUAAAGGGUGUCAAGGCGGUCAUGUUAGUCGUUCGUAAAAUCCGGGGGCUCAACCUCCGGCCCGCGAGCGAAACGGCAUGACUUGAGGUUGGGAGAGGUAUGUGGAACUCACGGUGUAGGGGUGAAAUCCGUUGAUAUCGU